UAAACAAUACCAGAGAUCAUUCAUAAACAUCAAACAUUUGUUUUAUCAGAUCAGCAUUUUCAUCAACUUUACAGCAGUAAAACAUCGAUUGCGUUUUCGCCGUGAUAAUUUUAACAAAGGGAUUACAAGAUGAAAUCAUGAGAUGGUGGUGGACUGCGCCAUCAGACAUUAGAGCAAUACCACUGUGGCAAUACCAAGCCCCAAGGGUGACAGGCCCAAGCAUUCUAGGGGCCUAUCAAGCAAUACGAAUGGGAACACAGUGAAGACUUAAAUUUCAAUCGUUCUGGAGGACCAGGAUUUGGCAAAGAUUACAAGACGAGGAUGUUCACUAAUACUGCAUUGAACAUGUUCAGUGGAUUUUAGUUUAGCAACAACAUCAUGAGGACGGGAUCGUGCUACAUCAGAACACAUCUCAUGAGAAGAGAGAAAACUAAUCGUUACAAGGAAUUGUCUUGGAUAUAAAACGAAGAAACGAAAGUAUUUGUAAAGCGAAUACAGAACCAGCGAGAUUCAACAACGACUUGGUCUUAAUAUAUUUGGAGUACUAAAGGUUAUACCGAAGUUUACGAUUGAC